rnacentral:rRNA from 1 species
AUUGAACGCUGGCGGCAGGCCUAACACAUGCAAGUCGAACGAGUGGCGGACGGGUGAGUAAUGUCUGGGAAACUGCCCGAUGGAGGGGGAUAAAUACUGGAAACGGUAGCUAAUACCGCAUACCAUCGGAUGUGCCCAGAUGGGAUUAGCUAGUAGGUGGGGUAACGGAUAACCUAGGCGACGAGCCCUAGCUGGUCUGAGCGGGUGAUCGGCCACACUGGGACUGGGACACGGCCCAGACUCCGACGGGAGGCAGCAGUAGGGAAUCUUGCACAAUGGGCGCAAGCCUUAUGCAGCCAUGCCGCGUGUAUGAAGAAGGCCUUCGGGUUGUAAAGUACUUUCAGCGAGGAGGCGUUACUCGCAGAAGAAGCACCGGCUAACUCCGUGCCAGCAGCCGCGGUAAUAC